UACGGAGGGUGCGAGCGUUGUUCGGAAUCACUGGGCGUAAAGGGCGCGUAGGCGGCGCGGUCAGUCAACGGUGAAAGUUCGGGGCUCAACCCUGAAUCGGCCGUCGAUACUCCCGGGCUUGAGCACUGUAGAGGCAGAUGGAAUUCCGGGUGUAGCGGUGGAAUGCGUAGAGAUCCGGAAGAACACCGGUGGCGAAGGCGGUCUGCUGGGCAGUAGCUGACACUGAGGCACGAAAGCGUGGGGAGCAAACAGG
rnacentral:rRNA from 1 species